AUGACAGGGGAGAAGGGGGGGAGCAGCAGCAGAUUGGUAAAAGCUGUAAAGCUUUGCACUUUGCAUCAGUACAUGCGAAUUUCAGGAUCAACAUGGUCCAUCCCAAUCCAAGGGCAACGGGUUGAAGAAGCACUUUGCGGCAAAGAAGAAGAAGAAGCACGGCAAGAAGUUAAGCAAGGAAGAACUAGCCUAGUACUAGUAGUAAGUAGGAGUAGCAAACAUCUCAUCAGUAACUCACAUCCUUCCUCGCUAGCUGCUACACAGCAUCCAUGGCGAUGCCAAGUACCAUCCGGUCGGGCCAAGCUAGCCGGGCCGGACGCGCUUCUGUCCGGCGGCGGCGGCGCGGCCGGCGGCAUCGGAGGAGCGCAGCGUGCCCGAGGAGUCGCCCUCCGAGGAGCCGCCGUCCAUGGCGGCGCCACGGUGCGCGAAGGAGGCAGAGAGGUCGGCGUAGAGGCCGACGACGCGGCGGAUGUUGUUGUUGAGCUCCCGGAUGAGGCCGACGUUGCGGGUGAGGCUGUCCGGCGCCCGGGACUCGUGGUUCUGGUUGAUCUCGGAGAUGAGCAUCCGGUUCUGGUCCAGGAUGCUCUGCACCUGUACGAAGCUCUUGUGGAACGUCUGGAUCAGCUUCCCGUCCACCACCUGGUGGUGCCCCCCUCCGCCGCCGCCGCCGCCGCCGCCUCCAUUGCCCAUCCCCGAGAAGCUCUCGCCUUCCAUCCCUUUCUCCCUCUCCAAACUCACUCUUGUUGA
rnacentral:rRNA from 1 species